UGCAGCGGGUGGGAGCGCAGCGGGCAGGAAACUUGAGCGUCGCGGCCCGGCAGACAGCUCGCUCCCUCGCUCCCUCCCUGCCCGCCGUCCUCUCCCCGCGCCGCGGCCGAGGCUCUGACUUUCUGGGAGCCGGAGGUUCACCCUCUCCUUCCUCUCAGCCUCCCAACAUGGACAGCCUCCUCUGUAUUGAAAACACCUUCACCUAACCCUUGUCUGUCCCUCCUUUUAAUAUUUAAUGCUAAUAAUGAUAAUAGUGCCUCACUUUUUUAUCGGUUCCGGGGCUGUAAUGAUUUUGUGCAAAAGCACCCUGGAUUCGGAAUCAUAAAACCCACGUUCAAAGCCGUCUGGCCACCUACUAGUUGUUUGAUCUUAGGCAAGUUACUUCAUUUUUUUUGAUCUUCAAUU